UUCUAUUAUACUGGAGACUAGCAGAGAAAUUUUUUUAUUAUAUUGGAGACUAUAAGAGAAAAUUCAAAUUAAACUCCAAUCUUAACAAUGAUACAUCAUCCCACUGUCGGAUUAGCACCAACUUGAAAGACAAUAGAAACCCAAGAGAAAAAAAAAGAGCUUAAAACUAAAAUAAAAAUGGCAGAUAACUAAGUGGACCCUAAAAGUACACCGAUAUUAGCUAAGACAUUGAGAAACCUCGUAUAAUAGAGGGGCUGAUGGUUUUAUCUACUUGGAUAUCUGUCUCAUCUUUCGGCGCUUCCUCUUCAAUCUUCUCAUGCGCUUCUUCUUCCACUGUUACAUAUCAUGUAAGAUGCCAUAAAUGAAAUAUCAUUCAAAGAUCUAUUAUAUAAAUAAGAACAAAUUGAGACAAAAAGGAAAACAGCAUUACCUUGGCUCUCAUGGUGAUAGGAUAAAAGGAAACUUGAUGUCGCCUUCUUGGUUAUUCAUUAAACCCUAGCCGGAUGCAGAGGCGGCAAUCAAUUGCUGGCAAGGACUUUUACCAUCUACACCUAUCACUACUAGGUGUCACAGGCUCUUUCUUCUUAGUCGAAUCGCGACCAGAUUUCCUAGAACUCCCCUUUCUCAGCCGAACGACGAUGUAGCAGAAGGUCGGGGAAAAUCUAACGGAUUUGGGGAUUUUGAUUUGGAAAAAAAAAAAGAAAUUUC
rnacentral:lncRNA from 1 species